GCAGGGAUGUUGCCCAGGGGCAGCCCUCCAGGUGAGCUGAACGCUGGCAGCGAGGACAGCUCAGCACUUGUCAGCUGAUAAUCUG